rnacentral:lncRNA from 1 species
CCAUGAGGAAAUCUGCCACCAAGUCGGUUUCUUCUGGAAGCCCAUGGUACGGACCUGACCGUGUUAAGUAUUUGGGCCCAUUCUCCGGCGAGCCUCCAUCCUAUCUUACUGGAGAAUUCCCGGGUGACUAUGGUUGGGAUACUGCUGGACUUUCUGCUGAUCCUGAGACCUUUGCCAAGAACCGUGAACUUGAAGUCAUCCACUCUAGGUAACUAAUAAUUAAAAGCAAAGCUUUUCAUAUUCUUUAAUAAGACUUUUUAUACAUGUAAUCUCGUUAAGUCAAGUAUUUUGUUUUCAUUUUCUCUUUCAAAAUUUAGUUCCUAAAUAUUUAUUCUUUUACGUUGUUAUCUUUUUUUGAGAUCAAAAUUUGAAUUUUUUUUGUACUUGAAAAUUAAAUUUAGAGGAUGAUUUCUUCUUUUAAGAGUUUUUUUUUUUUUUUAAUCUACUCUCUAAACAAUACUAUUUUCUAAAUUUGUUUAAGUUUCUUAAACUAAAAAAAUAAUAUUAUUUUUAAAAACUUACUUUUUAUUUUGAAAUUUGACUCGCAGAGUUUAAAUUCUAUUUUGAAAAAUACAAAAUUUAUAAGAAAAUAUACAGAAACUUUAAAGUCUAAACUAUUCAAAGGGAGUGUUUAGAUAUACAAAAACUCAAAUUGAGUUUGAUUUGAACUUAAUUCUUGGGUUUCAAACAAAUAAAUUAGAUGAUGUUUCCCUUGUUGACUUGGUGGUUUGCUUCAGGUGGGCUAUGCUUGGAGCAUUGGGUUGCGUGUUCCCAGAGCUUCUUUCCCGCAACGGUGUGAAGUUCGGAGAAGCAGUAUGGUUCAAAGCCGGUUCUCAGAUUUUCAGCGAAGGUGGACUCGACUACUUAGGAAACCCAAGUUUGAUCCACGCCCAAAGCAUUCUAGCCAUUUGGGCCUCCCAAGUUGUUCUCAUGGGGGCCGUCGAGGGAUACCGUAUUGCCGGUGGUCCACUAGGGGAGGUGACCGAUCCCAUCUACCCAGGCGGGAGCUUUGACCCAUUGGGACUUGCAGAUGACCCGGAAGCCUUUGCAGAGCUGAAAGUGAAGGAGCUGAAGAAUGGAAGAUUAGCUAUGUUCUCCAUGUUUGGAUUCUUCGUUCAAGCUAUUGUCACUGG